AAAGAUAUAGCAUAUUCUUCUGAAUAUACUUUAUUAACCCAUUCCGAGUACCUUACCCGUUGCUUCCGCGAGGCUGUCCUCACGGCCCCUCUGAAGAUUUAUCUUUGGGGAGUCCUUGCGGAAGGGGGGGGGGUAUAACAAUAAAAACUCUUUGCAUUACCAUGUCAUCUGUCUGAAUCUGUUUUUAAAAACAAAUAUUA
rnacentral:misc_RNA from 1 species